CGAGGCAGUCAGUAGAGACAGAGCAUCAGAAGCCUGCUGAAGGCUUCCAAUGCUCUGUCUAACACGUGGAGCAACCUGGAAGGGAUUGCUCCGGGGGGAGCGAUCACCCGGUAAUCUCCGGUGGCCCCCGGCAGUGAGGAGAGUAUUACAGCAACAUUGAGGCAUCGCUGUAAUACCAUAAAAGCUGCUGGAAGUGACCAUGAUCGCUUCCAGAGUUGUAAUUACCCCAGGAC